rnacentral:rRNA from 1 species
CCUACGGGUGGCAGCAGUGGGGAAUAUUGGGCAAUGGACGCAACUCUGACCCAGCCACGCCGCGUGAAUGAUGAAGGUCCUCGGAUUGUAAAGCUCUUUUCUUAGGGAAGAAGAACGUGACGCUACCUUAGGAAUAAGCCUCAGCUAACUACGUGGCAGCAGCCGCGGUAAUACGUAGGAGGCAAGCGUUAUCCGGAAUGACUGGGCGUAAAGGGUGCGUUGGGGGUUUGACAAGUUGGUAGCGUAACCCCGGAGCUCAACUUCGGAACUACUACCAAAACUGUUGGACUCGAGUGCAGGGGGGGCAACUGGAAUGUCUGGGGUAGCGGUGGAAUGCGUAGAUAUUAGGAAGAACACCGGUUGCGAAGGCGAGAUGCUGGACUGUAACUGACGCUGAGGCACGAAAGCGUGGGGAGCGAACAGGAUUAGAUACCCUGGUAGUC